GAUGUGGAAUUUUUGGCCAUUGCAUAAUUUGUAUGAGUGGAACAGUCCUAUGAUGAAGUCAAUGUUUUGUGAAGAUUAACCUCAUGGUGUUGCUCAGGCCAUGUGACGGAGAGGGACUGUGUUUCUGAAUCCUAGUCAGGAACCUGCUGCAGGAAACGGGCCAUGAGGAUCUGGACAGAGUGAUGCUGGAGCGUGAAAUAGAGUUGGAAGGGAAACUGCUUCUACAUUCUAGAGAUGAGGCAGAGGGCAACGCUUCAGUCAAGCUGGUUGAGACUUCAUCAGAAAUCAUCUCCAUCAACAAAGGCUCUUUAUCUGCUUCCCCCAAUUCUUUCUUCCAACUGCUUUUAUUUCCUUUAGGGUUGAAACCCAUAAACUCCAGCAACAUUAAGAGACUUGACUUUUUGACUUGAAAAGGAUGAUUAUGAGCCAGUGUCAGCAUUUUCAAAGACCAGGUCUCCAAUUUAGCCUUGAGCUCUGAGGACACUCGUAGCUGCAUGGCGGAGCUCCACAGGAAGCUUCAGGGUUGAACACAACAGCAUUUUAAGUUGAGAAAGCUUUGAAGAUCAAGAUUUUUUUUAAAAAAACAAUCCCACUGAGAGUCAUCCAUUUAUGAAUUGUGAUCAAAGAACACUGAACUGGGAGUUGGGAGAGCUAGAUUCUGGUCUUCUCUCUGCCACUACCUAUCAGCGUGGCAAGUCUCUUAACCUCUUGGAGCCUCAGUUUCUUCAUUGGUAAAAUGAGGGUGACAGAACAGAUUAGUGGGGCCCAGAUGCUGGUCAGUGGAUGAGAUGCAUUCGAAUCCCCGGAAACUUUGAAAACUUGGCAAGCAGAACUCUUAGAGAUUUUGAUUUGUAAGACGGGAGUUAUGUAGGAAUCUUUAGUUUGUGAAGCUCUCCUGGGGAUUCAGAUAUACAUCUAACAUUGGGAACCAUGGUCCAGGUGAUUUUUAUUUUGUUCUGUUGUAUUUAAUUAAUUAAUUUAAUUAAUGAAUUAAUUUUUGUGAGGCAGAUUGGUCCU
rnacentral:lncRNA from 1 species